UACGUAGGGGGCUAGCGUUGUCCGGAUUUAUUGGGCGUAAAGAGCUCGUAGGCGGCUUGUCGCGUCGUCCGUGAAAACUCGGGGCUCAACCCCAAGCUUGCGGUCGAUACGGGCAGGCUAGAGUUCGGUAGGGGAGACUGGAAUUCCUGGUGUAGCGGUGAAAUGCGCAGAUAUCAGGAGGAACACCGGUGGCGAAGGCGGGUCUCUGGGCCGAUACUGACGCUGAGGAGCGAAAGCGUGGGGAGCGAACAGG
rnacentral:rRNA from 1 species